GUGGGAAGAUUAUGCAUGCUAAGGAAGGGGGAGUGGGGAGGGGGAGAGAGAGAGAGGACAAGGAGAAGUAUCAGUGGUUGUCUGGAUGUUACAAUUAGAUAAUACAAAUAUUCCUCUAUAUGCUCUUGCUACAAAAAGUGCAAGGGCUAUACUCAAUCCACCUGAAGCCUUAAGGAAAUUUGGAAGUUAUAUUCUUAAAUCCAAGUUAUCGUUCUAUAGCCAUUUGCCCCUUGUUCGGAACAUCAUGAGACAGUUUGCGCCACAUUUCGUGUGGUUGUUGGAGCAUUUAAAGGAUUUUUCCUGAGCACAAGAAGAGCGACACUUGGUCACGAUAGAAAUCCAUUAUGCAUCAACUCAUCUGGGAUGUGUUGCCUAAGUUAAAGAUACAUGGCUUGAGUCUGAACUGUUGAAGAUGAAACUAAUAGUUAUAAAGAUAGUCUUGUCAUAUUUGAAAGAGCACGUAAUGGUUCUCUUCAUUGCAGACAGGAACUUUGUAGGGCUUCUGAAUACUAAAAGACAGAAGUGACUCAAAAUCUGAGUGAUCUUUAACUGCUUUAAGAGUGUAAUAUGUUGGACGUGUCCUGGCACACAUCUCUUUCAUUGGUUAGGACACAUUGCAUGACAUCAGGCUAACAACUUAAUAUUCGUAGGUUAUGAAACCACAUUAGUUUUUAGAUUAUAGUUUCAUUUCACUGAUGCUGAUUAGAUAACCAUUCAGAAGAAAAAUGUUGUACGGUGUAUGGUGCUGUCUGGGUGUGUGGUGACACUUAAGGUGCUGUUCUGUCUCUUUGUCAUGAUUUUUGACUGGUCUGACAGAUCUGCUUCCUUCGAUUGCAUUUUGCAGGACAACUUCACAGCAGCUAUUACAUAUUAUCACAAAGCUUUGCGAUUAAAACCAGAUGAUCAAUUCUGCACUGAGAUGUUAAGUCUGGCUCUUAUCGAUGAAUGCCGUCGUGGUGUAGACUCGAAGUUCGAGUACCGUUAAGAUAAGGUGGUUGGUUGAUCUCAUCUGUGGAGUUGUUGUACGUGCCUGUAAUUGCAGGAAAAA